rnacentral:rRNA from 1 species
GAUGAACGCUGGCGGCGUGCCUAAUACAUGCAAGUCGAGCGAACAGACGAGGAGCUUGCUCCUCUGACGUUAGCGGCGGACGUGUGAGUAACACGUGGAUAACCUACCUAUAAGACUGGGAUAACUUCGGGAAACCGGAGCUAAUACCGGAUAAUAUAUUGAACCGCAUGGUUCAAUAGUGAAAUACGGUUUUGCUGUCACUUAUAGAUGGAUCCGCGCCGCAUUAGCUAGUUGGUAAGGUAACGGCUUACCAAGGCAACGAUGCGUAGCCGACGGGAGAGGGUGAUCGGCCACACUGGAGCUGAGACACGGUCCAGGCGCCUACGGGAGGCAGCAGUAGGGAAUCUGCCGCAAUGGGCGAGAGCUUGACGGAGCAACGCCGCGUGAGUGAUGAAGGUCUUCGGAUCGUAAAACUCUGUUAUUAGGGAAGAACAAAUGUGUAAGUAACUAUGCACGUCUUGACGGUACCUAAUCAGAAAGCCACGGCUAACUACGUG